CCUGCACUUGAUGAAUGUAUUUUUAAUUUUAAUUUACAUGAAUUUAGACCAACUCUGCACUCCAACAUGAUGUCUUUAUUUUACACUGGUAAAAUAAAACACAGGCUGAAAGAACCAUUAAGAAACCUAUCUAUGCCUUUAUUGCCUCUAGAUUAGACUACUGUAACUCCCUCUAUUUUGGCCUCCAAUCUACCCUUCUCCGCAGGCUGCAGCUUGUUCAAAAUGUGGUGGCACGCCUCUUAACUGGAACUGGCAGGUUUGAUUCUAUCACCUCUGUCUUCGCUGACCUGCACUGGCUUCCCAUCAAAUACCGUAUUGAUUUUAAAUUACUAUUUGCUUACCUUUAAAAUUGUAAAUAACAUUGCUCCCAGUUAUCUUGUUGAACUUCUUAGCUUGUACACUCCUAGUAGAGCACUGAGAUCAACGGGCCAGUUGCUCUUAGUGCAACCUAGUGCACGGUUGAGGACCAGAGGGGAUCGUGAUUUUGCCAUAGCUGCACCCAAACUCUGGAAUAAUCUUCCUAUUGCUAUUCGUCAGCUGUUCAAGAGUCUAGUAGCAGUGGAGAAGAAAGAGUUGUUGAGUCGGGAUCUUCUAGAUUUCACACCGAGGGCAGAAGAGUGAACAGUCUAUGUUGGGGGUGUGUGGAGUCUUUGAGGAUGGAGGCAGCUCCUCUGGACUCUGCGAUGGUAGAUGCUCUGCAGAGAGGGCAGCGGGGUCCUGAUGAUCUUCUCCACAGUUCAAUUCAAUUCAAUUUUAUUUAUAUAGCGUUUAUGAAGUGGCUGUUUGGUCUCU
ensembl:lncRNA